UUGGUCUCAUGUAUUUUAGAACUCAUUUAGGACUGAGAAUGUCUUUGGCACUUUGUGAACCAGAAAUGUUGGUUCUCCGAAAGGAAAUUAAAGAAGUUUAUGUUACAUCAAACCAUCCAGCUAAGACAGUAAAGUGAAUGAAGGUUGAAGGAAUCAAAACCCAACAAAGGUGCUUGCUGCUUCUGGCCACGUACACAAGUAGUGUGACUUUAGCAGCAGUCAGAGCAGAUUAGAAUAGUUAUCUACUUUUUUGUGUCACAACUAUACAAAACUGCUUCAUCUUCUUAUCUGAGA